rnacentral:rRNA from 1 species
GUGUCAGCAGCCGCGGUAAGACGAACCGUCCAAACGUUAUUCGGAAUUACUGGGCUUAAAGGGUGCGUAGGCUGCGCUGUUAGUCAGGUGUGAAAUCCCUCAGCUCAACUGAGGAAUUGCGCUUGAUACUGCAGUGCUCGAGGGAGAUAGGGGUUAGCGGAACUGAUGGUGGAGCGGUGAAAUGCGUUGAUAUCAUCAGGAACACCGGUGGCGAAAGCGGCUAACUGGAUCUCUUCUGACGCUGAGGCACGAAAGCUAGGGGAGCGAACGGGAUUAGAAACCCUCGUAGUCC